rnacentral:rRNA from 1 species
GACGAACGCUGGCGGCGUGCUUAACACAUGCAAGUCGAACGGAAAGGCCCUGCUUUUGUGGGGUGCUCGAGUGGCGAACGGGUGAGUAACAUGUGAGUAACCUGCCCUUGACUUUGGGAUAACUUCAGGAAACUGGGGCUAAUCCCGGACAGCAGCCACUGCUGCAUGGUGAGGGUUGGAAAGUUUCGGCGGUUGGGGAUGGACUCGCGGCUUAUCAGCUUGUUGGUGGGGUAGUGGCUUACCAAGGCUUUGACGGGUAGCCGGCCUGAGAGGGUGACCGGCCACAAUGGGACUGAGAUACGGCCCAGACUCCUACGGGAGGCAGCAGUGGGGAAUAUUGCGCAAUGGGCGGAAGCCUGAUGCAGCAACGCCGCGUGCGGGAUGACGGCCUUCGGGUUGUAAACCGCUUUCGGCUGUGACGAAGCGUGAGUGACGGUAAUGGAUAAAGAAGCACCGGCUAACUACGUG